UGAAUUGAAAUUAGCUAGGUAAUGCAAUUGGAGUGGCAGGUCUUGAAUGAAUGUAAAUGUGUUACACUAGCAGG